GAGUGGCGAACGGGUGAGUAACACGUGGGUAACCUGCCCAUCAGAAGGGGAUAACACUUGGAAACAGGUGCUAAUACCGUAUAACAAUCGAAACCGCAUGGUUUUGAUUUGAAAGGCGCUUUCGGGUGUCGCUGAUGGAUGGACCCGCGGUGCAUUAGCUAGUUGGUGAGGUAACGGCUCACCAAGGCGACGAUGCAUAGCCGACCUGAGAGGGUGAUCGGCCACAUUGGGACUGAGACACGGCCCAAACUCCUACGGGAGGCAGCAGUAGGGAAUCUUCGGCAAUGGACGAAAGUCUGACCGAGCAACGCCGCGUGAGUGAAGAAGGUUUUCGGAUCGUAAAACUCUGUUGUUAGAGAAGAACAAGGAUGAGAGUAACUGUUCAUCCCUUGACGGUAUCUAACCAGAAAGCCACGGCUAACUACGUGCCAGCAGCCGCGGUAAUACGUAGGUGGCAAGCGUUGUCCGGAUUUAUUGGGCGUAAAGCGAGCGCAGGCGGUUUCUUAAGUCUGAUGUGAAAGCCCCCGGCUCAACCGGGGAGGGUCAUUGGAAACUGGGAGACUUGAGUGCAGAAGAGGAGAGUGGAAUUCCAUGUGUAGCGGUGAAAUGCGUAGAUAUAUGGAGGAACACCAGUGGCGAAGGCGGCUCUCUGGUCUGUAAACUGACGCUGAGGCUCGAAAGCGUGGGGAGCAAACAGGAUUAGAUACCCUGGUAGUCCACGCCGUAAACGAAUGAGUGCUAAGUGUUGGAGGGUUUCCGCCCUUUCAGUGCUGCAGCUAACGCAUUAAAGCACUCCGCCUGGGGAGUACGACCGCAAGGUUGAAACUCAAAGGAAUUGACGGGGGCCCGCACAAGCGGUGGAGCAUGUGGUUUAAUUCGAAGCAACGCGAAGAACCUUACCAGGUCUUGACAUCCUUUGACCACUCUAGAGAUAGAGCUUCCCCUUCGGGGGCAAAGUGACAGGUGGUGCAUGGUUGUCGUCAGCUCGUGUCGUGAGAUGUUGGGUUAAGUCCCGCAACGAGCGCAACCCUUAUUGUUAGUUGCCAUCAUUUAGUUGGGCACUCUAGCAAGACUGCCGGUGACAAACCGGAGGAAGGUGGGGAUGACGUCAAAUCAUCAUGCCCCUUAUGACCUGGGCUACACACGUGCUACAAUGGGAAGUACAACGAGUCGCAAAGUCGCGAGGCUAAGCUAAUCUCUUAAAGCUUCUCUCAGUUCGGAUUGUAGGCUGCAACUCGCCUACAUGAAGCCGGAAUCGCUAGUAAUCGCGGAUCAGCACGCCGCGGUGAAUACGUUCCCGGGCCUUGUACACACCGCCCGUCACACCACGAGAGUUUGUAACACCCGAAGUCGGUGAGGUAACCUUUGGAGCCAGCCGCCUAAG
rnacentral:rRNA from 1 species